rnacentral:lncRNA from 1 species
UUUGGAGUCAUUACUAGCACAUGGAUCUUGUUUGAGUAACCUGAUACCUUCUGACAUUCAUUAGUGCAAUAAACAUGUAAGAUUUGGAAAAUAAGUAAGUAUUGGAAUGUCUUGACAUCUUGUAGGGUGGAAACAAGUUCAUUGGUAAUGUAGGACAUCAUACAAAACCAUUAUGGAUCACAUGUUACUGAAUAACUUUGGAAACUUUCUUAAUAGAACAAUUGUUCACUUUCAUGCCAAAGAUAUGGUAUAGAGUAUGCUUUAUAUACCUAACUGUCAACCUUCAAUACUAGUCCCAAAUGAACUUCUCAUCUUUUCGGAUUACUUAUCUACAAUGAACAUAUAUAGCAAUCUAGUAUUAGCAACCAAAUGUCACAAUUCAAUUAUUUGAAUUCACCAAACUAGUGGUUGAGUAGUAAGCCUUAAUUACACCAUAAAGGGUGUCACUUUAACCCUCUUAUACUCCAAUUACAUUCACAUGCCAUGCAUAUUCAUACAACAUCCUCCAAUAUCAAGUUUGGAUUCAUUUAUCCUUCCAACCAAUCCAUUAAACCAAAUUGAGCCAUAGACAUAAAUAAUCAUCAAUUCAAUAGUAUAUCACCAUAUCCACCUUCCAUA